GGAGGAGGAGGAAGAGAUCACCCCAUCUCCCUCUUCCUUUGACUGUGUGAGCAUCUUAAGAUCUGCCUGUCCCUCACCCUCUCCCAUUCCCCUUCCCCUGGACACCCCAUCCUCCAGACUGAACGAUCCUGAGGGGCCUGCUACUGCCUAAGAGGCUGGGUGUGAGGGAGGAAAAGAAAAGUGAGCAGAACUGAUUGAAGCAUUCAGGAAAUGGUGUGCAAUGUGCAACCCCUGUGGACCUCUCACCUUCUGAAUGGGCCUAUAUUUUGACUUGUGGUACAGGGACCACUUUCCCAAGUUUCUCAAAUCGAGGCUCAAGAGCCUUGGGGACUGGUGGCUUGCCUGUUGUGACUGGAUCUCCAAGUCUCCCAGGCCUGGCCACUAGCCUGUUGGAUUUCAUAUAUGUGAAUGGAGGUAACACUUUAAGUGAACAUGGAAGCUAGCCCAGAGAGUUCAUGCUUUGCAGAAGUGGACCCUUGGGAAACCUCUGAGUAGAGUGACAUGGAAGUCAUUUGAAGCUGCCCAUGGAGUUGGCUACGAGGGAGGGAGGGAGACAGGAAGGGGCCGAGGUGCCUGUGAAGGAACGGGGACAGGAGAUAGUUCCAGGCCACACACGGGGGUCUGGGGACAGAGAAGGAAAACCAAGAGGAGGAUCAGGUGUGUGACAGGGCCAGCCGCUUGAUGGCCUAGCCAGAACCGAGAGGAAGCAUACACAGGGGACAGACACUUGGAGAUGGGACCUGGUCUCACACAGGAGAGUUCAGGCGGCACGGGGACCAAAGACAGACACACGGUACCCGAGCUCGGGUGGACAGAAGCCAGACACCUGGAUAAAUGGGCAGAGCAGCCAACAGUCUGGCCUCAUGGCACCGGAGGUCUCAAACCAAGCCCUGGAGCUGAAGCUGCAGUGGUGGAAGGAGUCGCUCUGCACGUCCAGAGUCCCUUUCUUUCCUCCCUCCUGCCUCUCCAUUAAUCCCCUUUAGAUCCCUGACCUCAUUCAAAAACUGCUCUUUGAUGUUUUCUGCUUCUUUCAUCUUGGGAUCCCAUGUAUCCCUCCCUCUCCCUCUCCUCCUCCCUGAGAGCCAUGCCAUGUGACAAAAGAAUGGUGUUUUUUGUUUUAGGAGGGAAACAAAGUCAACACAAGAGUGGGAGACAAUCUCUCUGGGAACAGUCCAGUUACUACAGGCUAACUCUCUGCGGAAGCACAUCGAAUCUCAGAACACUGAACAAAUGAAAUGCUGAUGGGUGGUGACACACGCUCUGAACACUCAGAGGAAAAGACACUUGUGGCAGAAGACACACUUUCUGGGAACAUUCUGGUGUAAGAGAGAAACUGGGAAGCCUUUGUGGGCAAAGAAAUCAGCCCGUAGGAGAAACAUAGGUGGGGUCGCCAGUUCACCCAGUGUGGCCUGAGACGCCACCUUUGUUUCUCUGAAGAAAGGUUGGUUUCUUUGCUCAGGAAGGCUUCCCAGUCUCUCUCUUACACCACCUACCACAGGCUUGCUUUCUAUGAGAAAACAUCCAGCCUCAGAACACUCAGAGGGAAAGAUACUUGUGGCAGGAGACACUCUCUGGGAACAGUCCAGUUACUACAGGCUCACUCUCUGUGGAAGCACAUCUAGCCUCAGAAUACUCAGUGGAUGAAAUGCUUAUAGGUGGAGACACACUCUCUGAGAACAAUCUACUCGCUGCGCGUUCCCCCUCUGUGGCAACACAUCGAGGGAAAACAGAGGCCAUAGAAGCAUUCCUGAUGAAAAGACAUGCGGUGAGUAGAAAAUGUGGCUUUCAAAUACAAGGCUCAAAAGAAGCAUUAAAAGGGAAAUGUGCCCGAGAAAACAGAAGCAACUCAAUAAGGUUAAACUGUACACUCUUCCAUAAAGGAAGAUGAUACACAGAAUUGGUACAAAAAGGGGAAUUCAUAUACAUAUAUUUAUAUAUGAGUAUAUAUUGAUAUAUGAAUGACUUAAUUGGUCAGAAACAUUUAUCUUACCCUAUAGAUAAGUAGGAGAAGGG